rnacentral:rRNA from 1 species
AUUGAACGCUGGCGGCAGGCCUAACACAUGCAAGUCGAGCGGAGCGGCGGACGGGUGAGUAAUGCCUAGGAAUCUGCAUGGUAGUGGGGGAUAACGUCCGGAAACGGGCGCUAAUACCGCAUACUAUCAGAUGAGGCUAGGUCGGACUAGCUAGUUGGUGGGGUAAAGGCCUACCAAGGCGACGAUCCGUAACUGGUCCGAGAGGAUGAUCAGGCACCCUGGAACUGAGACACGGUCCAGAUGCCUCAGGUGGGCAGCGUUGGGGAAUAUUGGACAAGGGGCGAAAGCCUGAUCCAGCCAUGCCGCGUGUGUGAAGAAGUUCUUCGGAUUGUAAAGCACUUUAAGUUGGGAGGCGUUACCAACAGAAUAAGCACCGGCUAACUUCGUGCCAGCAGCCGCGGUAAUUC